rnacentral:lncRNA from 1 species
CUCGCUUCUCUGCGGCCAUCGAGCAUGACCCCCACAAACCGCUGUACUACCUGUGCUGGGCCAGGACCCGUGUGUGCCGGGGCGGCGUGGAGGGUGCGAAGGAGGAUAUUGCGCUAAGUCUGUGGCUUGACCCCACUGACAGCGAGGUACAACCCUGGCACCGCUUCCCGAUGCCCUCCCAGCCUGUUGCCUUGGCUAUCUGUUAGGCAGUUUGGGGCAAGCGUGGCAUUUCUGUUCUGCAUCAGGAAUCGGCAGCUGGAGUCAAGGGUCCUACCAGGGUACAGGUCCAAGUCAAGCAAUAAUGUUUAUAGCUUGAGUUUUACAACAUUAAUGUGUUAAAGCCAUCAGGAAGGCAUUUUUCCUGCUGCUUGUUUUCACUUUCCUGUUUCUUUGAACCUAAUUCAGGGCAGAAGCCCUCCUGCAGCUGGCUGUGAUAAGAGGAGCAUGUCCCCACACUGCUGUUGCCAACUGCRGCACAGCUGAGGGCAGCAGCAUGGUUUUCCCCGGCUGGUUUUGAUAGAUUCGGUAUUUUUUUGCAAUGAAACCCAGGCUCCCCGUUUGGGCAGGUGUUGGCCGGGCAGGUCCCGGUGAGGCUGGCAAGUCUAUUGCUGAUGGCGUAAGGCAGGUGGUUGGCUGUGGCAGUGGAAACCCAAGGGCUCAGUGCUUAGCACUGACUGUGGAGAAGAGUUUUUCCAUGAGUGCAGGCAUGUUGGGAGGAGAUCCAGGUCUUGUCUUGUUGCCACUGCAGGUCCUUUCCCUCGUACACUACCUCCUUCCAAGAAAGACUAUCCAGGCUGUGCUUAGGAGUGAGACUGGACGCCUCGCUAAAGAAACCUUGGAGAAAAAGCUUCAUUGCCCUCCAGAACCCCCCGUUUUGGCUGAUCUCACCCAGUGCAACAGACGCAGUAGGCCCCUGAUCACACUAGAGGAUGAUCUGAAGGAAGCAGUAGAGCUAGAGGAGGCCAGGGGAGCCUGGCAGGGCUGUGAGAAGAGCAUCAGCCGCUGCAYGUCGGACUACGAGCUGUAUGAGGAGGUGGUCACCUGUGGAGGGAUAGCGACCCGUGUGAGUGAGCAAGCACGCGGGGAGCUGUGGUGGCAGCGGGGUACAGGCUAUCGGGGUAUCAGGCAGGGGGCUCAGUGGGAGAUGGAUGCAUUCGUACACCUUUUUGUGCCUUGCCUGCGAGGAUGGAGGUGA